GAAGUGCUGAGUGUCCCUUCAAGCAGCCUCUUCCCCAGGAGGCAAUCUUUACCUUCACUAGCCACAAGGAAAGACUGAAGUCUGGCGCCAAGAGCACCAUGCUGGAGGUCUCAGUGGCGGGGGGCACAUCUCACCCAAGGCCACUCUGCCCUGUCCACUUGCAGAGGGGCUCCUUGGUGUGGGGACAGCAAGAGGGUUUCUUUUGCCACAGGAUGACCAUUGGCUCCUUGGGAGCCUUGGUCCUCUUGACUGAUUCAUGGAUGGCUGACCACGAAUCCUCUUAAAGAGAUCUUUGAUGCCACUAGACUACUGACAAGCAUGAAGUCCCUGACGAUGUGUCAUGGGCCUGCUGGAAUCUCUGUUUCAAGGACAUUCUUCCCCAGACAGAGUGGAGAGUGAGGACUGAAGGGAGAAAGAGACAGCGCAGGUGCAAGGUGGACAGCACCCAUCGACCUCUGUGCUGGAAGCGGUGCUUAUGCACUUAGGCAGGUGCUGAAAUGAGAGAGGCUGUGCCUGAAGACAGCAGGUCAAGUCUCAGUAUGACAGCAACAUGGCAGAUUAUAAAAACCAGAUGAGCCAGCAGAUAGCCGCUGUAUGGUAACUCGUGCCACAAUAAAAAUGUCAGUUUUCUGUAUUAUUUUACAGCAUUGACUAGCCUAGGAAUGCUUUCAAGCAGGACACUGAUACCCUCCAUUGUUAAAGACAGACAUAGGCAUUUAUUAACUGGUGUUCACACGGCUCUUUCACUGGCUGAGUUUGUGAGGCGAGACCAGAUUUCCUGUCCUAAGUAUUCCUGUGGGAGCAGCAACCAUGUGGGCGCCUCAAAACGUUUCCAUCAGAAAUGACAGUCGGGGGCAGGUGCCCCGCACUCACCAAUUUCUAUCCCACUUACUUUCUCUCUCCCUGGAGAGUUGGGCAAAAUUCUCUGUCAUUUCUUUUAUUCUUUACUCCUAAAAGAUCCUUGUAACAAAGAACUCAAGCAAAAAAAAAAAAAAAAGAAAAAGAAAAUCCCAUAAUUAGACUAAGUGGCAUCCCAUCCCCCUCCCCUUUUUAAAGUGAAGUGAGCUCUGCGCAUGGCAGCAAACUGGCUGCCUCUACAGGCCUGCCUUGCGUAGCGCCGGGGUCUGGAGUUUCUGGAGCAUUCUCUUGGAACUGCUCAGAGGCAGGGAGUGCCGGGGGUGUGUGUUUGCAAAUAGAUACCUGAAUGAUUAUCUAGAAAACGUGCCUCUGAAUUCCAAGUGAAAAGACAUAAUUUUGAGGGUUAUUUGCCUUCAAUUUGGGUGGUCCAUCGUGAGCUGCCUUUAUACAUGCCACUGUCCUUCCUACUGAAGGUGUCCACAGCAUGAUCUCUUCACCGGGAUUGGGAUGAAAACACCAGUCAUCACCCAGCAGAUGUUGCUUCUCUACUGAGGACCCUUCAACUUGUUCACUGUUUCAAAGCUGAAGCUGCAAUUUGCGAAGUCGCAUUUUCCCGAAGGCUUUCCCACCUGGGCCUUGCUGAGGAACAUAAGAGUAUCAUCCCACCGACUGCUGGCAUUCGGCCCUGCGCCCACACAGCCCAGCGCUCUGCCUACCUGUGUCCAGGUGAGAGUGCAUCACAGGCAUCCUCCUGGACAGGCAGAGGGAAGCUCUCCAUCAUUAUGGAAUGCUUCCUCUACUGUAUGACACACUCAGUUGAAUGAAAAGAAACAUCAGUCUUUCUGAAUGGGUAAUGAUAUUGUUUUCUUAAAGAAUACUUUCACAGAAAAAUAAAAAAAUACUUCUAGAGUAAGAUUUAAAAAAUCAACAUAUACAUUUGGAAUUAUUUGUCUCAAAUCACAGACUCUAGAAUAUUUAAGUUGCUUGAGACUAUUUAGCUCGGCUUUCUGCUCACAGACAGGAACUGAGGCACACGCUUGGGAAGGCCAACAUUCUGACUAUUGUCACCUUGCCGGCAUGGCACUGUUGCCCCAGCCAAGCUCGCAGUUACAAACAUCCAGGGAGCAAUGAGAGUUUGCUUAGAGAAAAGAGACGUCCUGGAAUACCUGAACGGCUCUCACAAGGCUGUGAGGGGCUGGAACUACUUGGGGUAGAUAUAUGUAGAAGUCACGUGAGGCAGGUUUGAGUUUAAUAGGAAAAAAAACCCAAAACAACUUUCUGAUGGCCUUCUGAGAGUGGAAAAGGCAGCCUUGUGGGCCAGUGGCAAACUCCUCAUGAACCAUGGGCCUCUGUGGGGCGUAUGCAGUUCCUGCUAUUCCUCAUGAACCAUGGGCCUCUGUGGGGUGUAUGCAGUUCCUGCUCUGUGGAGGGAGGCUGGGCAGGGGACACUGGAUGCUGUGGGCUCUUCGGUGGCAGGGCCUUUUUUUUUUUUUUAAACAUCACUGUUGCAUGUUUUACAUAUCAUAAAAUUCACUCGUUUCAACUGCACGAUUCAGUGGCCUUUAGUAACUUUACCACAUUGUGCAAGCUUCAUGAUACAUCAGUGUCAGAACCUUUCAUCCCAAUGAGGUCCCAUGGGGACAGAGUUUCAACUAAAGCAGGUCUCUUGGGACUAUGGCUGUCUCGGGAGGGGCCUGUCUCACAUGCAUUCCAUCCCAGUCCUCCCAGUUACAGCCUGGGUACCUUGCUUUGGGUGUGAUAGGGUGUUGUACCAAUAAGCAAUAUCCAUACUGUCUACCCAGAUAGGUUCAGGCAAGGAAGGGGCUGGGUGGACAGGAAAAGGUUGGCAGCUGGGUGAUAGCACCCAGUGGACCAAGGGCAGAUGCCACUGAGGGGGCAACAGGAUAGGGUAGCUGCUUCUCUCACUGCCCCCCUGCCCCAUACUCCCAUAUAGUGAAUCUGUUUCGGGCAGAGGACACUUUUCACCCUGACCAUGUAUCAUAAUAAACUUCAAUGGUUCUCUCAGCAACACUGAAUUACUUGAGAAAGACUUUGUUAUUCAGGAAACUGAGUAACUGAAGCUCAGAAACUUCUAGUAAAAAGAUGAUCAUAAUUGUUACAUAAUAUCCAUUAAAAAAAAAAGAAAGAGUAACAGCCAUUUUAAACCCAAUUAGUUUCCCUGACAUGUUAAUAUAUGUUAACCAGAAAAAGGAAGUCCUUUUUAAACCUGGGCUCCCUGUGGUGCACCCCAAAAGGAAGUCUCGGUGGCCUAGACUCCAACGUCCAGUGAGAGACACCCUGCAUGCGUCACGUGGCUCCCCAGCCGCGGACCUGCUUGUGUUCUUACAGGAGGUGCCUAAGUGGCACCUUGAAGAAGAUGAUAUGCUUGCUGUGUUAUGUACACCCGCAUCCUUCCUUGCUAAAGCAUUCCUGGAAAGCCCCUGCUGACCAUAUCUGGGGGUAAUCAUCAUGGGAUGGGCCAGGCAAAGCCACCAAACCAUGUGCCAAUUACAUUUCAAGCAAGGGGUCCUAUUGGCACCAGCAUCAUUUUUUUAAGGCAAAGUCUAGGAUUUCAGCUGUAGGAAUUUAAAAACAUCCAGAGUUAAUUUUUCACACAAAUCUUGAAGAGUGGGGGCUUUUAGUGUCUUUAGGUUGACAGCAUCCAAAAUCCAAAAGAAACAAAAACAACACAAUGUGCCCAGAAAACUAAGAACGCCAUUUUGGCUUUCUGAAACUUUGACAAUACUGCAGACACGGGAUGAGUUUCUGCGGAGAGGCCGGGGAGGAGAACGGAUGUAGGGGGUCACAUGUGGCUCAUCCAGUAGGAGAAAAUGAAAACAUGUGUCAAUGAGGAAAAGGCACAGGAAUCACACCUCCGGUUCAAGUAGUCAGGCAGUGUGAUGAAAGCUGCGAGACGCGGGGAUGCAGAUCAACUGAAUAAGAGGCAUAUCUCAAACAAGAUGUGGGAGUGGAUUCUCUCUGUUCUGAUUAUUAGUAUCUAGUAUCUGAAUUCAACCUACUGAUUUAGUUUGUGAAGUACAGGCAAUACGAGAUGACAGGAGAUGUUGGCGGCAAAGAAUAUUCUCAUGCGGACCUGGAGUCUUUGAGAGCUGCCUAGAAGACAACCAUGGUAGUAAUUCCUUCUUUCCAGCAUAGUUCCACAGGUUUGUAAAUGAAUCACAGCUGAUCACAACAGAUGGCCUCCAUUUCCUCCCAUCAUGACCUUGAGAUAUGGCCCAAGCAGAUCACAAGUCCCAGCAAGCAGUUUUCAAUCCAUAUCUGAGCAGCGCCACAUAAAAGAUGUGGCUUGGGUGACUGGUACCUUGGCAUCUAAGGAUCAGAGUUCCCACGUGAUUACAACGAACACCAUUUGCAGCAAAUACCAUGGGGCAGUCCUCUCGGCUUCUGGAAAACUGCUACGGAGCGCUGUAACUGGCCUGAAGUCUGCGUACAGGCCUCACUGAUACCUUUUUCAAUUAUCCAUUUGGGUUAAAUCCUCAUGGGUCGUGCCAUAGAUCCCUGAGUGGAUUGCACAGCAGGUGCUAUUAGAUCCUAGUUGUAAUCAGUGAGUGAUGGUCCAGGAACCUGGGAAGGUUCUAAUAACACGCAAGGACUAUCAUCAGAAUACCUCAACAUUUAAGCAGCUUUGCAUCUUCAAAGCUCACUACAAACAUUAAUUAAUUAAUAUAGACGACACCCCUGUGAUGUCGUUAAGUAUGAUUACCUCCAUUUGACAUAUAAGGAAACAGGUUAAGCGGCUUGCUUGAGGCCACACAAGCCCGAGUGGGUCUGGGAAUGUAGUUUGGAAGCACCUGAUCCAGCACACACGGAGGCGUGCUAGUGGCAGGUCAAGAAGCUCACCCACUCCCCAGCCCUCGCCAUCCCCAGCAAGUGGGACUGUGGCUGCAGGAGAUCUGCUGACAGGCUGUCCGAGGACCCUGCCCGGAUCUUCCUCAACCACGUUCCAACCCAAAAGAGUUAGUAAGAGUCUGACAGAGAGCGAGUGAGCAAGAGCAAGCUCUAGCAAAUCCACUGCUGGGUCCAGCUGCAGUGAUGGGGGGUGCAGCCCUUGCUUCAGCAUUCCCUGCUGCUGAGGCGGACUAGGCAGUGGACAGUCGGAUGUCAUUGUUAAGGGGCGGGUGGGUGCCUGAGGGGGCAGAAAAUGGAGGAAGCAUGGAGGAGGCUAUCAUCUGAGGGUCAUCAAAAACCCAUGACAGACAGCUACACUGGGGAGAUGGAGGAAGGACCUGAGAACUAGAUGAAAUCCUACAGCAGGAGCACCGGGAGUCACAAAUGGCGACUCGCCUUGGCUCCGAAGCUGCUGGUGGAGAGAGAGGAACUGCGUGGCUGGAAGGCAUUGUGCGGGACUGGGAAAGGAAGGAAGGGAGCCAGCACUUCUCGGUGCCUUCUGUGUUCCAGACCUUUACAGCAUUCACUUAUUUAAUCCUCAGAUCAGCUCCCCCAGGUGAACAUUACUUCAUCUUAUUCUUAUCUUAGCACUGGGAAACUGAGGUGGCAAUGGUGAGUUUUCAGGCAGGAUCAGAAUCGAGUCCAUGUGUGGAUGAUGACAGUGAUCCCACACCACCACAGACAGGUAAGGACUCUGGACGUUGGAAACAGUGACAUGGCAGGAGGGCCUCUGGGAAGAGCUGCAGAAGGUGCAGACUUGGGAACAGCUGGAGAAAUGAUAGCAGCACCGUGUGUGCUGGGGGCUCCACUUUGAAUUCUGGAACCUGUGGCAUGGGUGACCAGUACCUUGGAAUCCAAGGAUUAGAGUUCCCACACAAAGAAGUACAGUUGAUCUGAGGACAGUCUCAGAGAGGUGGGGAGGGCCCAGAGGUGGGAGUGGGAGGUCCAGGCCUGUCUGUACCACUGGAACAUCCAAGGAGAAGCAGGCAAGUGGACUCUGUAUAUGACAUCAGCUGCUUUAUGUUGAUGUAUAUAAACUGUCCUGAGAGCCAAGGGAAAUGCCUUAAAUUCUCAACAAAGAUGAGCUGAAAAAAAUCAUUCCAACAUUUUCCCAAUUAUUUGACAGAAACACAAAUUUAGGGCUUACUGCUGCAUAACAUUUUGUGUUCUCUCCUGCCAAGAUGCUGAGGGCAGUCAGCUGGGAGGAAUGCUACUUUGGGGAUGAAUUAAAGUUUGUUGAAUAAAGAAUGAGCACAGAUUCAGAAGCAAAACUUCCAUAGUGCAUGAAUCCUCCCAACGAGACUGUCAGAAUAAGGAUAUAGGUUUGCAUUUAUUUAUUUUACUAAAAGCUUCCUACUUCCCUCCUUUCUGGAUAUCGUAAGGGGUUUGACCUUUCUGUUUCAAAUAUGACAUUUCUUUCUCUGAUUUCCUUUAGCCAGAUGUCAAACCUAAAAUAGAAUUUCUUAGAACUUACUGCUCAAAUAUGAUACUUAGGAGCAGACUGUAGCUUUUCAUAGUGUCUUAUGGCUUUUCUAGAACAUGCACUGAUAAGGAAAGGGAGAGAAAUUCAACUUGGGGUGUCUCUGCACCCUUCGUUAGGGAUGCUGGGAAGUGAUGGCAACGCACAGAAGCACCGUGCAGGUCGUUGGCUCAGAAAAGGCAGCCACUGUUUUCAUUUAGGAGCCCAGCUCAGUCUGAACUGUGGGACCUCCUUCACCAAAGCACCCCCAUAUUGCUUCUUGUUCUCACCUACUUAACUGAAACGUCCCAAAGUUCCCUAGAAGAGAUUUUAGCUAUCAUCUCUCCUAGAAGAGCAGGAAACCAAGCUCCCUUUUCCUUGCUUUUAUCCUUGCCCCUGCGGAAUUUUUCCAAAGGUACCAGUGAUGUUUUUGUGAAUGCAAGUACACGGCGGCCCUCCUCCUCACAGCCUGGAACCCCAAACCCUACCACUGGCCUGCACCGCCUUAUGUGACUGCUUGUGGCUACUGCCCUCACCAUUUCUCUGUGCCAGGAAUACUGGCCCCACUGCUGUUCCUUCAACUGGCAAAGCAUACACCUGCCACAGGGCCUUUGCACAGGAGUCCCCCGGUGACUGGUGAAGAUCCGUGUGCCCUGCUCCCUCAUUUCCUUCAUGGCUCUGCUGAAAUGUCUCAUCAGAGAGGCCUUCCUUGAUCACCUUUACCCUGCUUUAUUUUUCUUCAUGGCACAGAUCUCCUCCUGACAUGUUAUUAACAUGUUUGUGGUCUGUGCCCUCCUGUAUGAAUGGGAGCAUGUAAUUUAUUUGUUGUAAUUUGUUGGAAUAAGUCACCUACUGGCUUAGCACCCUCAGGACCCAGAGCAGUGCCUGGCACACGGUAGGCACCCAGUAAGAAUUUGUUGGAUAAGUGCUUACAUUUAUUUCAACAAAUAAAUCACAUGCAUGCCCCGUUAUAGUUCUUUACAAUAAUUAGGCUAAAAGUUGCUUAUAAAAAGAAAAAGAAGUAACCUAGUCAAAUUUUACUUUGGUGUUUCUUAAAUGUUACCCAUUCUUACUGCAAAAAUCAACUCUUGGAAUCUUUAUCAUUUCUCUGUAAGGCCGAGAAUCUGCCCUUUGCUACUUGAAUCUUGUGUCAGCCUUCAGUCAAAACUAAUGAAAGUCUGGGCCAAUGAGCUGGCCCCAGAUUUCUGGAUCAUCCAAGCAUCUCCUUCACUCUCUGGACCCUCUCACCUGCCCACCCCCUGGAACCACACUGUCCUCUGUCACCAACAGUGAGGUGGGGGAGUGUUCUUACAACUUCAUCGUUCACUCACAUGGGAGACCGUGAGUAUUCUCUUCAGAGGAGAGGAAUUGUUUCUCCUUAGAGAGGCGUGAGAUGAAUGAGUGUCCUGUUCUCCCUAGAGUCCCCGAUUCAUGGUGUCUGGCCACUCCUACAGGCACAGCACGGACAAUCACAUAACGAAGCUGAAAGCAAUGUGCUUUUGAGUAUAAGCCAUACUGGUUAGAGGUGAUUUACUGUGUCACUCUGUCACAUUGACAUGUUUGAGACUCAUGUAAACUAUUCCCUGAUCAGCCACAGUUCUGGCCUAACAGGGGGCAAUGCUAAUGUUUAAUAAUGUAAGCAUAAUAUUUAAUUUGGAAAGUACUAGUGAUUAUAUAGUAGUAAAGAGGCUUCACAUGUGGGUAGAGAUUUUUUAAAAAUCUCAUUGAUACCAAGGUAUAGUGCAGUAGAAACAUUUUGAAACUAAAGUUAGAAGCGUCCUAACUGUAGAAUGAACAUAUUCACGUCACUAUUGUUCACCAGGAUCGCUCUCACACACCACACGUGCUAUGUGAAUACAGAUAGACUUCUGCAUACUCAGCUGGCUUUGCACAUCUCUACCACAGAGUACGUGUAUCUCUUGGACAGAGUAUGACUGGUGGAAGUGGCAGUUGGCAGUUUAUCUUUGAUCACUAUAUUCAGAGGUGGCUUAUACUUUUUAAUUUUUUUUAUUAUUAUACUUUAAGUUCUAGGGUACAUGUGCACAAUGUGCAGGUUAGUUACAUAUGUAUACAUGUGCCAUGUUGGUGUGCUGCACCCAUUAACUCGUCAUUUAACAUUAGGUAUAUCUCCUAAUGCUAUCUCUCCCCCCUCCUGGCUUAUACUUUUAAGGGCACAAAAUAUAUAACCAUGAUUGCUUGAAAGGGAUUUGUUUCAAUUCCUUGUUUGAAGGAGGUAAUGGGCCAGCCUAAGAAUCAAAAGUGACAAUGAAAUAUAAAAUGUAUAACCAUGAUUGCUUUAAAGAGAUUUGUUUCAGUUCCUUGUUUGAGGGAGGUAAUGGGCCAGCCUAAGAAUCGAAAGUGACAAUGAAAUAUGAAUGUAAAAGAGGAAGGGAGACAGACCUCUGGCUUGUUAGUACAACAGAAUACUUACUUGGGGUUCACUUUAUACAUUACUUUCCCCCAUUUUCCUACCCAUUUGGGUAGGAAUGAGAUCUGCCAGGAAGGUGCACGGGGCAGAAGGCUUUGCUGUUGUUUUCCAUGUCUUGGUUUCCUUCCUUUACCAGGACCAGAGCAGGAGGCCUCCUUUCUGCUCUCUGGGGGCCACAUACUCCUGCCUCGAUGGGCCACAACUGGAUGAAGGAGGAUACACGUGUGCCUUGCUACACAUAAUAGCUAAACAGCCCUAGAAAAACAGGGUCUGUGUACAUAUCAUCAUGUCUUCAGGCUACAAGGAAGCCCGCUGUGUGAAAAAGCUCUCCUGAGCUCAAAUAAGAACUACUUUCUAAAUAUCACCUUAAUAUAUCUGCCUGAACUCAGCUUGGCACUGGCUUUCUAUCCACCUUCUGCCCAGCAGUGAAUGGAGUCAACUCUCCCAUUAAUGGAGCACCCUCUGGGGGAAGGGCACUGUGUUUUCUGCUGAGCGCUAGGACCUUCACAGUCUCCACAGAGCAACAAACCAGAACUCAGCGAGAAGAGCAAUGCCAAAGAGGAGGCCUAGCGUGCAGACACACAUGAGCCUAGAGCAGCUGUGCCCACCCCAUGCCUCUACCAUUGACUCAAUGAGGACAGCUGUCUUUGAGAGUGGUGACGGUAGGGUUCUAUAGAAGAAGCAGGUCUGUUAAGCAAUCUGCGAGAUGGCCGGCCUCAGACCAAUCAAAGUCUACCAUUUUGUCUUAUCUAUCUAGAACCAUAACUCAAAAAUGAAAUUGCCCCAGCUUUUCUCCUCCCACCAUUAAAUUCCAUUCAAUCAUAGCAGGCAAAAUGCAGUCACGCUCAAGCAGCCAGAUGUUAUCAUUACAGACUGCUCUUUAUAAACCCAUGCUGAAACCUGAGUGGUUGAUGAGACCAGCUAAGCAGUUGUACCUUUGACCCAAUUGCAUUAAACUUGCCCUAUCAAUUUAAGCUCAGUAUAAACACCAUUUCCCAGAGCCCCUCGUGAAGUCAGCAGUGAGAAGAAGCUGACUAAGCCUAAACAUUUUUUAACAGCAAUCUUGUCUUACAACACCAAGGGGAUUUGCUGGGUAUCUGGGGCUUUAUAAAACCAUAUGAACAUGCUGAAAGAAUUAAAAUCCUUUAAAAAUGAAAAAUUGAUGGUGACAGUCCUGUCUGAAGACUAACUGGUCUAAUGGCAACAUGGAAUGGGCACUUUUGUAUUUUUUUUUCUUUUUUUUUUGGUCUGAGACACUUUUGUAUUGUUUUGUAAGUAAUAUAUUUGUAUUAUUUUUCUUCUUCUCAAAUGUUUGCCUUAAGGUGGCCAUUCCAAUUUUUUUUAAAUGAAAAAAAAUGUGCCCCACUUAUCAGUAAAUUGGACAUUUUAAGAGGAAUUGAACAUAUUUACUGUCCUGGUUAAGUUUCUUUCUAAUGAAGACUGGGACCCUCUCCGUAUUCAAACAUUUCAGAUAAUAAGAUCACAGUUAUCUCCACAUCACAUGCGGCUGACAUCCCGGGAGUCUGGCCUAUGCACAAGUCCCAGGGUGAAUGAAGGGAGUGAUCGUACCUGGCUAUUGAUUUGCUAAUAUUUCAAUAAAACUUAGAUGUUCUAUAAAAAUGUAAGCAUAUAUUUGUCUUUGUAAAUAAAUAUACCUCAGUGUAAAGGUAUUUCAAAAGAGAAGGCUGAUCUUAGAGGUGUUUACUUUUUUCUUUUUUUGCUUUGUAUAAAAAGUUUAUUCAGUUACUUUGUGGCUGAGUUUCCAAAUAAGUAGGAUACUGUUACUUUCUGUUAAAAUGCUAAAAUAGGAUACUGGAGAACAAAUAAAUGUUGAAGAUUUAUAAACUCUUUUA